rnacentral:ncRNA from 1 species
AAUCAUAGUUUAUUUAAUGGUAUCUACUACUUGGAUAACCAUAGUAAUUCUAGAGCUAAUAGGUGCAACAAACCCUGACUUCUAGAAAAGAUGUAAUUAUUAGAUAAAAGGUCGAUACGGGCUCUUCCUGUUGCUAUGAUGAUUCAUGGUAAUGUGACGGAUCACACAUCCAUUGUAUUGGUGAUGCAUUAUUCAAAAUUUU